GGGGAUAACGUUUGGAAACGAACGCUAAUACCGCAUAAGACCACACUUCCACGUGGGAGAGGGGUCAAAGGAGCAAUCCGCUGAAAGAUGGGCUCGCGUCCGAUUAGAUAGUUGGGGGGGUAACGGCCCACCAAGUCGACGAUCGGUAGCCGGACUGAGAGGUUGAACGGCCACAUUGGGACUGAGACACGGCCCAGACUCCUACGGGAGGCAGCAGUGAGGGAUAUUGGUCAAUGGGGGAAACCCUGAACCAGCAACGCCGCGUGAGGGAAGACGGUUUUCGGAUUGUAAACCCCUGUCCUCUGUGAAGAUAAUGACGGUAGCAGAGGAGGAAGCUCCGGCUAACUACGUGCCAGCAGCCGCGGUAAUACGUAGGGAGCGAGCGUUGUCCGGAUUUACUGGGUGUAAAGGGUGCGUAGGCGGGUAAGCAAGUCAGAAGUGAAAUCCAUGGGCUUAACCCAUGAACUGCUUUUGAAACUGUUUAUCUUGAGUGAAGUAGAGGUAGGCGGAAUUCCCGGUGUAGCGGUGAAAUGCGUAGAGAUCGGGAGGAACACCAGUGGCGAAGGCGGCCUACUGGGCUUUAACUGACGCUGAAGCACGAAAGCGUGGGUAGCAAACAGGAUUAGAUACCCU
rnacentral:rRNA from 1 species